rnacentral:rRNA from 1 species
CCCUUAGAUGUUCUGGGCCGCACGCGCGCUACACUGAUUCAUGCAACAAGUUUUGUCCUUGGCUGAUAGGCCUGGGUAAUCUUUGAACGUGAAUCGUGAUGGGGAUAGAUGAUUGCAAUUAUUCAUCUUCAACGAGGAAUUCCUAGUAAACGCAAGUCAUCAGCUUGCAUUGAUUACGUCCCUGCCCUUUGUACACACCGCCCGUCGCACCUACCGAUUGAGUGAUCCGGUGAAUAAUUCGGACUGCGGCAUUGACCGGUUCCCGAUCGUUGCUGCGGAAAGUUUAGUGAACCUUAUCACUUAGAGGAAGGAGAAGUCGUAACA